CAUUACCUGAAUUUUGGGAAUUAGUUCAAAUAAUUCAUCCUGUUUCUUUUCUCUAAAAUCUGGCCCCUCAAUGGCUAUACCAUCAUCAGUAAGAAUACCACAUUCCCUAGCUAUAGCCUUGGCAGUAUUUAUAUUGUCUCCAGUAACCAUUCGUACGGUGAUACCAGCUGAACGACAAACUGCAACCGACUCCUUGACCCCAGGACGAACAGGAUCCUUAAUACCCAC
rnacentral:misc_RNA from 1 species